AUUGAACGCUGGCGGCAGGCUUAACACAUGCAAGUCGAGCGAGCGGCGGACGGGUGAGUAAUGUCUGGGAAACUGCCUGAUGGAGGGGGAUAACUACUGGAAACGGUAGCUAAUACAGCAUACCAUCAGAUUGGACCAGAGGGGAUUAGCUAGGAGGUGGGGGAAUGGCACACCUAGGCGACGAUCCCUAGCUGGUCUGAGAGGAUGACCAGCCACACUGGAACUGAGCCACGGUCCAGAUUCCUACGGGAGGCAGAAGUGGGGAAUAUUGCACAAUGGGCGCAAGCCUGAUGCAGCCAUGCCGCGUGUGUGAAGAAGGCCUUCGGGUUGUAAAGCACUUUCAGCGAGGAGGCGUUACUCGCAGAAGAAGCACCGGCUAACUCCGUGCCAGCAGCCGCGGUAAUAC
rnacentral:rRNA from 1 species